CCACCAAGAUGAAUUCACCUGAACUCUCUCUUUCUGCAUAAACUGUGUAGAAACUUAAUAUUCUGAGUGGC